AACAGAAAGAAAGAGGAAAUGCAAAGGGAGGCUCUUUACUCUUUUGAAGAUCAUUCCUUUGCACCUUUAGAGAGAUUCAGAAUUUCUUUUCAAUUCAAAGAUCUAAGCAACUUUGAUCAAGUAGACAUUUAAGCUGCAAACAAGAUGGUUGAUGCAGUUAUUCUUCGAGCUGUUCUUCAGAACAUUAACUCCCUACUUGAGCAAGAGUUUGCUUUGGCAUGGGGAGUCGAUCGAGAGAUGAGAAGGCUUUCAAACACCUUGGCCACAAUUCGAGAUGUAUUGGAGGAUGCUGAGAUGAAGCAAUUCAAGGAUAAGGCUAUCAAAGGAUGCAGCUUAUGAUGCAGAAGACAUCUUAGAUGAGUGUGCUGCCAAAGCACUUCAAUUAGAAGACGCCUAGAUGAGCAAUUGCACCAACCAGGAUAUGAAAACAGAGUUGCUGUCACUCAGUUGAGGGAAGCUCUACAACAUACUUCCAAACACUAUCUUCCAUCUUGGACUUGAUUUCUAGUUUUAAUGUCCUUAUUAUUAAAUAUGUAAGUUGUAACUAUAAUAUUAAGAGAGGCCUAUAUCAUUGCCCAAAAAGCUAUACAAACUGGGGCUAAUGGCUUUGUUUUAAUGGUCCACACAAUUUUACAUUGUCAUAGAAGGAUGUGAAAAUAACAACUAUUAGACAGUGAAAAAUUGAUUUUUUUUUUGAUA